AGAACUACGAGAGUCAACAGAACCAAUUAAGACCAGGGUAUAAUUAUCAAGAAAAAUUUCUCUUUUCAUGAAAAAUAUGAUAAUGAUACACUCACAAUGCAUUUAAUAUCUGGCAGUCGAAUGCCAUCAGGCCAUCAGGAGUGUAAAGACGACGCUUUUAAAAAGUGACAACAUCGUCGCGUUUUAAAAAACUUUUAUUUUUUUAUUCAUCAUUACGGAGAUUGUGAUGGUAGGACGUAAUGAGGUAAAAGACGACGAUACUUUAGUGAAGUAUGCUUAAACAGAUUCUAUAGGGAUCGAUGACCGUUCCGUUGGGUAGUUUAUUCGAACUUUGGUCGGGAUUAUCGAGAUGGAAGGGUCGAGAGCUUGGUCGAAUAUCAACUUUGACGGUUCAACGCCUCAUCUCUUUUCAAGCUCACCAGACACCAGACACGGUUCACUGAAUACAUCUUUUUGGAAAAUCCUUUUUGGAUUUUGGUAUGAGGAACAUGGUGUGUUUGACAAGGGAUUUUGUUUUGAAGCAAUUUGAGAUAACAGAAAAGUAUUUUUGUAAGGUAGCUUGUCGAUAAAAAUGUUUUAUUUAUGAUACAAACAGAACGAAAUUUACGAAUUUAAAUAGAAUAGAUAACCAAAUGGAAUAUAUCCUUUCUUCGACUUUCAUACAUUAAAAAUCAUGUAUCUAAAUUUUAUUUUAAUUAUUUGGAGCAAAAAGUAUGCUUUUUGAUUUUCUUUUAGUUGUAGCAUUCGCCAUACUAUGAUUUGUUUAUGUGUUAAAGCACGUAUUUUAUGAGUUAAGAGAUAGAUUAAAUAUGGAGACUAAAUUGUUAGAUUGUUAUAAAUAUUUCUUUUACUCAUUGUAAAUUAUUAUUAUAUUAUUACGUGUAUACGUGUGUAUACUACAGACGGACCAUACUAAUAGACACUAACAGCUUUCUUUCAACAUAAUCUCCUCGUCAUUGUCUCCGAAUAAGAAGUUUGUGACAAAGGUUCGAAUUUCGCUCGGUUAAGUUUCUGACUUUAAAAAUCGCCUUUUUGUUCCGGGAAGAACGAAGAUAAAUGUUCGGCACUGAACAGUAAUGAGUUAAUCCUCGAUUCACUUCAAGUAAGUGAAACACUCCAAUCUGUAACAUGUCCAUAAGAUUCGGUUGACGUUGGUAGGUGUAUCAAUUUUCUAAUUUAAUUAUUGUGCUCGAUUUAAUGACAUGGCGAUCUGGUCAAAAAAAAAAAAAAAAAUAUCAAGAGAUUCCCUUUUUUGCGUUUAUAUAAGAUUUUUGCUUUUACGUACUAAUAUAGGGAAGAAGUAGUGGUCUCCCUUUUAUCGAUGUAAUCAUAUUAGGGGAACGCAGUAAAUGGCUUCUGCAAUAUCACGGAACUAUUCGUAUCACUCGAUUAGCUGAGUCCCCCUGGAUCAGUGGUUCUCAAUUCUUGAAGCGUUCAUUUAUUAAUUUAAAAAUAGUUCAAGAUCUUUUUCGAUUUUCUCCAAAGAAUUUUCAAAUUGAAUAUUUAAGACAGCAUUUAAUGAAUUCAAAUUGAAACGCCUUAUUUUAUUACGUAAACGAUAAUUAGAAAAGAGAAAGAAUUCGUAUUCUAUAUAUUCCAUAAAAAGUGUUCCAAUAUUCGUUAAGCCUUUGCAAAUUUUCCAUAACAUGCUAAAGGAAUGCCAGUAAUUUGUCAUAUCUGUAUGCCAAUUUCCUUAAAAUUUCUAUAAAAUUUAAAUCUACUUUUUAUUAGUAAUCUAAAAAUCAUUACUUUUUUCAACAAUAUAAGAAAUAAUACCUUAAAAAUCGCUCAAGGAAUACACAAAAUACGACGAAGUUAACCGAGCCAAAAAAAAAAAAAUAAAUAAAAAAGAAAUAAAUAAAUUUAAUGGUGAAUACGUGGGUACUUGUUGAAAUUUGCAUCACUCGACGUGAACGAACCGUUCGAAAGGAAAACGCGUUCAGCCGCCGAGGCUGUAGAAUUGGGAUCACUUAAUUAAUUCCGUUUGAAUUCAUCCAUUCUUGUUUAACGGCUUAUGCGUUUUCUAUAUCAUAUCAUUUCCAAGCAUAUCGUUCCUGGAAGACGAAACAGCGCGGCAAAACAGAUGUGAAUACAUACCACGAGCGAAGCAGGAGUGCGAAGAUUCUUCGGAACGAUAACAAUAAAAUUGCAUAAGAACCAUAGAUGGAACACAAGGCAAAGGUGUAGAUGGUAUUACAGACUUUGAAACGACCGUAUAGGAGGAGAUAAACUUGAUCAAAUAAUUGAGUUGAGCCCUUUGAAGUUAAGAACCACACGCUUUGAUGUUUUGUUUGAAGGAAAGACGUCGAGUUAUGCAAAAAUUGUAGAGGUUCUACGAAGGUGAAUGAGGAGAUUAUGUUGCUGAGUAAAUAAAUGAGAUUUAAAGUUUCUUUUGAAUAUUGCAAAUUUAAAGGUUUCGGUGGCAUUUUAUCAUUAAUUCUAUGAUAAUAAAACUUUUUCAUGAAUUUUUUUAUUAUAAAAAUAUUACUUCUAAAUUCUCCGCUUUAAAGGACCAAAUCAUGCAAUUAAAAUUUUUAAGGCCUUUCCAUAUCAUUGAGGAAAUCACAUAAGAUUGUUAAAUAGUUGCUGUUGAUGUUUAACCGUGUAGGAUCAUAUAGUCAGAAAUUUCUAUUCUUUCAAAUAUAUACUAUAUAUUUGUUAAUGUUAAUUGUUAUCUGUGCUGGCAUAGUGAAUAAAUAUAUUGAUGUUCCGUGUUUUAAUCGUUAGAAUUAUAGCUAAUACGUAUUUUCUGCGUGUAUAUGGUGUCAAAAAAUUAUUUGUUAUAGCUGUGGGAGGUGAAAAUCUGUUAGAAAAAAUGGAUCACGAAAUUGAUCUUGAGUAUAAUUUUCAAAGACAAUAUUUUUUAUUGCAUUAUAAAGUCUCAGAAAACUCCUGGAUCGUAAAUGACUCGUUCUAUUGGAAAAAGCUGUUUAAAAUUUCAUUAAUCCUUACAUUGAUUGUAUUUAUUAUGUUGCGAUAAUAUGUUACAAAUAACAGAUGAUAUAAGCAUCAAAAUUAAUAAAAAAACAAUUAAUUAUAUAACAUCGUAAUAAUAUACAAUAAAUCUUAGAAAACGUGCUCUCGAUGAAGCCGGUGAAAAUUAUCCUUUGUUCCGUGGUAUAUAUAUAUAUGUGUAUAUAUAUAUAUAUAUAGAGGGAGAGAGAGAGAAAUGGAUGGUAAACCGCAGCAUAGUGGUUUCCAACCAUCCACAAUUAUUCCAAUUCCUCACUCGACUUUCUUCGUGUCAUUAACAUAGGAAAAAGUAAAUUAUCGUUUGAUAAUAAGCUUUUAAGCGUUUAAUAAUAGAUCGUCGAGUAGAAAUUCCACACGGAACGGUGAGAAGAAUAAUACUUGAAGAAGAGAUCUACGUCCUUACAAUGUUCGCCGUGUGCAAGAACUUUGUAGGAUAGAUGAUAUCGUUUGACGAAAAGUUUAUCGUUGAAAGCUAAGAAAAUUGGAACGAAAACAAACGCUGUCUCAAAGAUAUCUUGUUUUUGGAUAGAAACAAUUACUUUACCAGCAACAUUCUCAAUAUCAAGAAUAUCAAAAUUUUAAAGAUUCAAUCAGAGCCGCUUGAACACGUCUGAUUUAUUUCAUAUCUGACUUUAGCAUCAAGAAAGUUUGAAAAUUAAAGUAAUAGAUGCUAUACGUUGACGAAUAAAUAGAUAUUAGCACUGACGUUAUUUUAUGCCAUAUCUGACCUUAUAAUAUGAAUAAAAUCAGUCUAAAGAUUAAUGAAAUUUCAAACGUUUUUUUUUAAUAGAACGGAACUUUUGCUCUUCCUGAUGAGUACUAUAUGAUGCAAUAGAAAAACAAUUUGACACUGAAAAUUAUGGUCUAGAUCAAUUUUGUGCUCCACUUAUUUAACCGAUUUCCAUCAAUUUGAAAAUGUAGAAUGGUUUUUAAAAAAGCCGUGAUAAAUAAAUUGUUGACACCUUGUUCAAAGUUAUAUAUCAAUGUGUAUAUCGAUACAUAUAUUCUAUAUAUGCAUAUUCGUGGAAUACAAAAUUUGUCGAGAGUUUAAAAAUGUUAUUUAACUAUUUAAGAGAACAAAGCAAAAGCACAUAAAGGAUUUGAUGACAGUCCGUA